GUUCAGAGCCAUACCACCUUGGACACACCCAAUCCUCUCUGAUCACAGAAGCUAAGCAGAGUGGAGCCUGGUUAGUCCUAGGAUGGCAGACUAGGACUACCAGGUGCUAUACAUU
rnacentral:rRNA from 1 species